ACUAAAAAGAAAAGAGAAAGCCAACUGGCCCUCAGCAGUCAUGCCAGCCAGCCGGCUUACCGCAGACUCCUGAGGGUAGACGUGAAGAGGGGCUGAGGCUGCCUGGCGUCACACGGGCUGGUGGAGCUGGGGUCAGAGCAGUCUCCAUGUGACGGCCCCCUCCUCCAGUCCACCCUCCACCCUGGAGCCAUAACCUCGGAGACUUGGCUCUGACCUUUGGUUGGUGCUGUGAUGUGAAUAUCGAGCCGUCGUGGUGGGAUCGAGAGGAUGAGGACUUGAUCCAGUUAUGGUGUUAAGAGGUAUUUUCCGUUAUUGGCAGCAGAAGGGACUAGAACACUCAGGACGUGCUUCUCCUCCCUGAGCAGUCACUGUCUCCUCCCCUGAUGAAGAGACUGAGGCGCAUGAAGAUGAGGGAACAGGCCUAAACUCAUAGACCGGAGCCUGUUUUAAUCCAGGCGUCUUUGACUGCGAGGAAGCGGUCAGGCUCGGACCUGUGAAACAGACGAAAGUACCUACGAAGCGUGGCUGCCGUGAGGGUGACAGUGCCAGGAGCGUCAGCGAAGGAAGGGGGUCCUCUUACUCCCCUCACAUCACCGGGGCCUGGCGCUGUUGGUCAUCAGUGGUUUUUUUUUAAGUUUUAUUUAUGAUCAUGAUUUAAUUUG